CUUCCCCCUCCCUUUAGAGCUCUCGCCCUGUCGCUCCCUCCGUCUCUCUGCUUCCCUGCCCUUUUCUGUUGUCUCUAUUUUUCUCUGUAGUGCACGCCUACACGUAAAGGCACACACUCAGCCAAAGCAAAAUUGUCGGUGCGCAGCUACAUUUGCGAUUUAAGAGAUGACAAAGAGGAUACAGUGUUAGGGAGUCUGCCCCUGCUCAGUUUCCAGAUUGGAGGAGUAGAGCUUUCA